rnacentral:lncRNA from 1 species
CAUACAUAUAUAGCAGCUAAUAACUUGUGAUGCACCAAAAUGCAUAAUGUCAGUCUAAACUUCAACAAAAAAUAAGAAAAAGAAAUUCACGAGUACUUUACUAAACAAAAUGUGACUCGUCUUUUAAUCCAUUGAGUUCUUAAGUAAACAAAAUAUGAUUGUUGUCUUUCACUGGUUGCAUUUAAACGGUUCGCCCAUGAAGAUUGGUUUGUGGUUCAUGACUUGAAUUUGAUGACCGAAUGUUAGGAGAAGAACAAUUUGCACUACCAUGAUCUAC